rnacentral:tRNA from 1 species
GGGGCUAUAGCUCAGCUGGAAGAGCACCUGCUUUGCAAGCAGGGGGCCAGGGGUUCGAGUCCCCUUAGCUCCACCA